rnacentral:lncRNA from 1 species
CACAGAGUAGCAUAUAUACAGUGUUUUCAUUAUCACCAACGUCUCAAGCAACAAACAAAUGAUAUACAAACUCAUAAAUAACAACCCAUACUAUAGGAAACUCAAGCUAACUCCUCCUACCUCAAAAGUUACAAGCUUUACUUUUUUCUUCUCACGUUACAGUGCAAAAGUCUCCCUCUUCAAGCUUUCCCUUCCUCUCUAAUGGCUUCCCGUGAUGCACACACAACUUUCUCAUCGUUCUGUCUUUUCUGUCGUUCCCUUCCUGUUAUCUCCGUAUAUCUCCCCUCCUUCUCUGUCCCAAAAUCCUAAAUUAUUUGAACUCCAAAAUAACUGUCCCCUCCUUUUCGGUCCUCACUCCCUUUUUUUAUUCAUUCUGAAACCCUAAUAUUAUAUUUUAUUUUGAUGGGCUGGGUUGUUCUUUACCUAAAAUACGUGUGCCCCAAACCUAAAAAAAUUGCAUCAAAAAUUACCCUUUUUAAACUCUCUCAUGUGCCACACGGGAUAUAUAGUUUUAUUUUCUAAAGUACUUAAAAUUUGAACCUUUGUUGUCUCAACAUUCACAACACCCAUGCCACAAGCUUUUAUUAUAAAGUAAUGCACAAAAAGCAUAUAUAACUCAAACCCACAACAAACAAUAUACCCAUAAAAUUAAAAUAAGAUAAAAUAAAAUAAUAAAU